GUAGAAAUCUUUCUGCCAUUUCUUGGGCCAUGAGUGUAAUGCCAGCUGUUGGAUGCUGCUGUGAUGACUGCAAGUUAGGGCAUUCUAGAUUCCCCCAAAAGUAUAUGGCAAUACCUGUACGGAAGGCCUUUAAAAUUCGGAGAUUAGGAAAUCAACUAAAUGUCUGGAAGGGUGAUGAGUUAGAAAGUACUGGAAAUGCAUAAUGUUUACAGACGUGAAGUAAGGUUCAGGGUACAUUUAUUGGGACACAUGGUUUGCAUGUGCCCUGACAUAUUGAGAACAUAUCUGCAACAGUCUGCAUGCACUGAAACUACAUGUGCCAACAUGGAAAUUGUUGCAAAUCUGGGAUUUGCCAAAGAGAAUGAGAUGACC